GUGUUCAGGAUAAAGGGCAUACUCUCUCCAAUUUGCUAGCAGCCCUUCACCCUCCCUAUCAUAUUCUACCCAGUCCACUACAUAUUUACCUUACCUGCCAAGCUCAUAUAGACAUUUGAGGGUUUUUUUGACAAUUAAGGUUUUGAUCUCUGUUUUAGUGGAAAAAAAUAGAGAGGAUUCUGACUUUUAAAAAAAAUUGAGAUAAAUUUUACAGACAGCAAAAUGUACUGAUAAGUGUAAAAUGAGAUGAGUUUGGGCAAAUAUAUACAUUCAUAUGACCAACACCUCAAUUAAAACAUCAAACAAUUUCAUCAUUUCAGAAAGUUUCCUUAUGUCCCCUUCUAGUCAAUCUCCGUCCCCCACAGGCAACCACUGUUCGGAUUACUAUCACCAUAGAUAUGUUUGGGGACACUGACUUUUAUUACUUCAUUGUCUAGCCCAGCUCAUCAGGGAGGAAAAUUUGAUAGGGGUUUGGAGUAUAAGCACUAGGCAAGGGUAAAAGGUUUGUUUUAGAGGGAGCAUGACUUAACAUUAUCUGUCUUAAGAACUGAAGCAAGAAGUUAUUAAUAAUGACACCUGCUAUUUAAUAAGCAAUAGCUGUGUUCCAGGCACAAUACUAGGCACUUCACACAUCACAGGUAGUCAAGGUAUACACCUAGGCAAGAGCAGGAACCCAACAGGACGUAAGA